rnacentral:rRNA from 1 species
GACGAACGCUGGCGGCGUGCUUAACACAUGCAAGUCGAACGGAAAGGCCCUGCUUUUGUGGGGUGCUCGAGUGGCGAACGGGUGAGUAACACGUGAGUAACCUGCCCUUGACUUUGGGAUAUCUUCAGGAAACUGGGGCUAAUACCGGAUAGGAGCUCCUGCUGCAUGGUGGGGGUUGGACAGUUUCGGCGGUUGGGGAUGGACUCGCGGCUUAUCAGCUUGUUGGUGGGGUAGUGGCUUACCCAGGCUUUGACGGGUAGCCGGCCUGAGAAGUCGACCGGCCACAUUGGGACUGAGAUACGGCCCAGACUCCUACGGGAGGCAGCAGGGGGGAAUAUUGCACAAUGGGCGGAAGCCUGAUGCAGCAACGCCGCGUGCGGGAUGACGGCCUUCGGGUUGUAAACCGCUUUCGCCUGUGACGAAGCGUGAGUGACGGUAAUGGGUAAAGAAGCACCGGCUAACUACAUG